UGCUUGCUUCGGCAGCACUAUACUAAAAUUGGAACAAUACAGAGAAGAUUAGCAUGAUCCCUGAGCAAGGAUGACACACAAAUUUGUGAAGCGUUCCAUAUUUUU